rnacentral:rRNA from 1 species
ACGUAGGAGGCGAGCGUUGUCCGGAUUCAUUGGGCGUAAAGAGCACGCAGGCGGUUUGGCAAGUCGGAUGUGAAAACCCGGAGCUCAACUCCGGACCUGCAUCCGAAACUGCCCGACUAGGGGUAGGUAGGGGAGAUCGGAAUUCCAGGUGUAGCGGUGAAAUGCGUAGAUAUCUGGAGGAAUACCGGUGGCGAAGGCGGCAUCCUGGACCGGCAUUGACGCUGAGGAGCGAAAGCUAGGGGAGCAAACGGGA